UACAGAGUGAGUCGCCUCGAGAGAAAAUUGGCUCGCCAUCUACAGUUCAGACCACAUAUUGAGGAAAUGAUACAUGCUUGCACUGGUUAAAUAUCUUGGUCAGCUGUAAUCUUAUACUACAUACAAAUAAGGUAUUGCUCAAAAGUCUAAAGACAAUAAAAACAUAUUGGUUAUAUAUUUUAACUAC